rnacentral:rRNA from 1 species
UACGGAGGGGGCGAGCGUUGUCCGAAGUUACUGGGCGUAAAGCGUCCGCAGGUGGCAGUUCAAGUCUGCUGUCAAAGACCGGGGCUUAACUUCGGAAAGGCAGUGGAAACUGAACAGCUAGAGUAUGGUAGGGGCAGAGGGAAUUCCUGGUGUAGCGGUGAAAUGCGUAGAGAUCAGGAAGAACACCGGUGGCGAAGGCGCUCUGCUAGGCCGUAACUGACACUGAGGGACGAAAGCUAGGGGAGCGAAUGGG